rnacentral:rRNA from 1 species
UACGUAGGUUGCAAGCGUUAUCCGGAUUUAUUGGGCGUAAAGCGAGCGCAGGCGGUUGUUUAAGUCCGAUGUGAAAGCCUGCGGCUUAACCGAAGAAGUGCAUUGGAAACUAAAUAACUUGAGUGCAGAAGAGGACAGUAGAACUCCAUGUGUAGCGGUGAAAUGCGUAGAUAUAUGGAAGAAUACCAGUGGCGAAAGCGGCUGUCUGGUCUGCAACUGACGCUGAGGCUCGAAAGCAUGGGUAGCAAACAGG